UACGGAGGGUGCGAGCGUUGUCCGGAAUCAUUGGGCGUAAAGGGCGCGUAGGCGGCCUGGCAAGUGGAAGGUGAAAUCCCUCGGCUUAACCGAGGAACUGCCUCCCAAACUGCUUGGCUUGAGACCAGGAGAGGUGAGUGGAAUUCCCAGUGUAGCGGUGAAAUGCGUAGAUAUUGGGAGGAACACCAGUGGCGAAGGCGGCUCACUGGACUGGUACUGACGCUGAGGCGCGAAAGCGUGGGGAGCAAACGGG
rnacentral:rRNA from 1 species